UCGUAACAAGGUCUCCGUUGGUGAACCAGCGGAGGGAUCAUUACCGAGUUUACAACUCCCAAACCCCUGUGAACAUACCUUAAUGUUGCCUCGGCGGAUCAGCCCGCGCCCCGUAAAACGGGACGGCCCGCCAGAGGACCCAAACUCUAAUGUUUCUUAUUGUAACUUCUGAGUAAAACAAACAAAUAAAUCAAAACUUUCAACAACGGAUCUCUUGGUUCUGGCAUCGAUGAAGAACGCAGCAAAAUGCGAUAAGUAAUGUGAAUUGCAGAAUUCAGUGAAUCAUCGAAUCUUUGAACGCACAUUGCGCCCGCUGGUAUUCCGGCGGGCAUGCCUGUUCGAGCGUCAUUUCAACCCUCAAGCCCCCGGGUUUGGUGUUGGGGAUCGGCUCUGCCUUCUGGCGGUGCCGCCCCCGAAAUACAUUGGCGGUCUCGCUGCAGCCUCCAUUGCGUAGUAGCUAACACCUCGCAACUGGAACGCGGCGCGGCCAUGCCGUAAAACCCCAACUUCUGAAUGUUGACCUCGGAUCAGGUAGGAAUACCCGCUGAACCUAAGCAUAUCA
rnacentral:misc_RNA from 1 species